rnacentral:rRNA from 1 species
UGAACGACGUGGCAGCGGCCGCGGUAAUAGGUAGGGAGGAAGCGUGGUCCGGAAUUAUUGGGCGUAAAGAGCUCGUAGGCGGCUUGUUACGUCGAUUGUGAAAGCCCGAGGCUUAACCUCGGGUCUGCAGUCGAUACGUGCUAGCUAGAGUGUGGUAGGGGAGAUCGGAAUUCCUGGUGUAGCGGUGAAAUGCGCAGAUAUCAGGAGGAACACCGGUGGCGAAGGCGGAUCUCUGGGCCAUUACUGACGCUGAGGAGCGAAAGCGUGGGGAGCGAACAGGAUUAGAUACCCGGGUAGUC